rnacentral:rRNA from 1 species
AUUAACAAAAUUAAUUUGUAUAACCAUUCACGAAGGGUAGUGAGCUAAACAAAUAUACACUUAUAUAAUAUAUGCGUGGCAUAGCAUAUACAUAAUAUUUUUUUAGGGGUGAUAGGCUUUUCAAACUGUCCGAUAACUUGUUUCGUAUGAAAAGUAUUUAGUACAUCUACAUAUUUAAAAAGUUAAGCUUUUAAAUACUCAUUAAAAUUAUUUUUUUCUUAUAACGUAGUAUAGAAGCUUGUUAUUAAGCAUAAGAAUAUAAAUUAUAGCUCUUUAUGGAACAUAAUAUGACAAUAUAUCUUAUUUAAUUAUUUUAUAAUGUUAAUAUUAGUAGUAGUUACAAGUAUGUUAAAGGAACUCGGCAAAUAGGACACUCAACUGUUUAUCAAAAACAUAGCCACAUGUAAUAAUAUAUGGUUAUUUCUGCUCAAUGAUUAUUAAAUAGCCGCAGUACUCUGACUGUGCAAAGGUAGCAUAAUCAGUUGGCUUUUAAUUGGAGUCUGGUAUGAACGAAAAUAUGGGUGACAUCUGUCUUAACAUAUUUUAUUGAACUUGUUAAGCAAGUGAAAAUACUUGCUUGUGUAAAAAAGACGAGAAGACCCUAGAAACUUGAGUUAGUUUUUGUUGGGGCGACAGAAUUACAUAAAACUAAUUUUACAGAACAUGACAUAAGAUGGUAAGGAAAAGUUACUCUAGGGAUAACAGCAUAAUUUUAACAGUUUGUGACCUCGAUGUUGGACUAGGUAUUUUAUCUUUUAGAUAAAGAUAAAACAUGCUCUGUUCGAGCAGUUUUACCUACAU